rnacentral:rRNA from 1 species
AAUGAACGCUGGCGGCGUGCCUAACACAUGCAAGUCGGAUGUGCCGCAAGGUGCAUGGCAGACGGGUGAGUAACGCGUGGGGAACCUACCUCUUCGUGGGGAAUAACGAUCCGAAAGGAUUGGUAAUACCGCAUGAGACCGACGGCUGGGAUGCUGUCGGUGAAAGCUGGGGACCGGAAACGGCCUGGCGCGAGGAGAGGGUCCUGCGUCUGAUUAGCUAGUUGGUGGGGUAACGGCCUACCAAGGCAUCGAUCAGUAGCCGGCCUGAGAGGGUGAUCGGCCACACUGGAACUGAGACACGGUCCAGACUCCUACGGGAGGCAGCAGUGGGGAAUUUUGCGCAAUGGACGAAAGUCUGACGCAGCAACGCCGCGUGGGUGAUGAAGGUCUUCGGAUUGUAAAACCCUGUCGUCGGGGACGAAGGUAGGAGGGUUAAUAGCCCUUUUGCUUGACGGUACCCGGAGAGGAAGCCCCGGCUAACUCUGUGCCAGCAGCCGCGGUAAGGCACG